AAAACCCGCAAGGCCGACGGCACCCCGCCGCCGCUGGUGCAAGUCCAGCCGCCCCGCCGGGGCGGGCGCUCAUGGGUAACAC
rnacentral:ribozyme from 1 species